rnacentral:rRNA from 1 species
GGAUUAGAUACCCUGGUAGUCCACGCCGUAAACGAUGAGUACUAGAUUUUGGGGGAUUUGACCCCUUCAGAGUCGCAGCUAACGCAUUAAGUACUCCGCCUGGGAAGUACGGUCGCAAGACUAAAACUCAAAGGAAUUGACGGGGGCCCGCACAAGCGGUGGAUUAUGUGGUUUAAUUCGAAGCAACGCGCAGAACCUUACCUGGGCUUGAAAUCUCGAGAAGGUCGACCAAAAUUGACCGUGCUCUUCGGAGAACUCGAUGACAGGCGCUGCAUGGCUGUCGUCAGCUCGUGUCG